UACGAAGGGGGCUAGCGUUGCUCGGAAUUACUGGGCGUAAAGGGCGCGUAGGCGGCACUGUUAGUCAGGCGUGAAAUUCCUGGGCUCAACCUGGGGACUGCGCUUGAUACGGCAGAGCUAGAGGAUGGAAGAGGCUCGCGGAAUUCCCAGUGUAGAGGUGAAAUUCGUAGAUAUUGGGAAGAACACCGGUGGCGAAGGCGGCGAGCUGGUCCAUUACUGACGCUGAGGCGCGAAAGCGUGGGGAGCAAACAGG
rnacentral:rRNA from 1 species